AUGAACGCUAGCGACAGGCCUAACACAUGCAAGUCGAGGGGCAUCAGGUAUCAGCUUGCUGAUACGCUGGCGACCGGCGCACGGGUGAGUAACGCGUAUGCAAUCUGCCUGUAACAGGGGGAUAACCCGGAGAAAUCCGGCCUAAUACCUCAUAAGGAUGUCUGUCCGCAUGGGCGGUCAUCUAAAGGUUUUCCGGUUACAGAUGGGCAUGCGUUCCAUUAGCUGGUUGGCGGGGUAACGGCCCACCAAGGCGACGAUGGAUAGGGGUUCUGAGAGGAAGGUCCCCCACACUGGUACUGAGACACGGACCAGACUCCUACGGGAGGCAGCAGUGAGGAAUAUUGGUCAAUGGGCGUAAGCCUGAACCAGCCAAGUCGCGUGAAGGAAGACAGCCCUACGGGUCGUAAACUUCUUUUGUAUGGGAGUAAAAGAGUCCACGCGUGGGCUAUUGCAAGUACCAUACGAAUAAGCAUCGGCUAACUCCGUGCCAGCAGCCGCGGUAAUACGGAGGAUGCGAGCGUUAUCCGGAUUUAUUGGGUUUAAAGGGUGCGUAGGCGGCCCUAUAAGUCAGCGGUGAAAUGUUCCGGCUCAACCGGGAAACUGCCGUUGAAACUGUAGAGCUAGAGUCCACAAGAGGUAUGCGGAAUGCGUGGUGUAGCGGUGAAAUGCAUAGAUAUCACGCAGAACCCCGAUUGCGAAGGCAGCAUACUGGGGUGAAACAGACGCUGAAGCACGAAAGCGUGGGUAUCGAACAGGAUUAGAUACCCUGGUAGUCCACGCCGUAAACGAUGAAUACUAACUGUUUGCGAUAUACAGUAAGCGGUACAGCGAAAGCGUUAAGUAUUCCACCUGGGGAGUACGCCGGCAACGGUGAAACUCAAAGGAAUUGACGGGGGCCCGCACAAGCGGUGGAGUAUGUGGUUUAAUUCGAAGCAACGCGAAGAACCUUACCAGGUCUUGACAUCCCGAUGCUAUUUCUAGAGAUAGAAAGUUACUUCGGUACAUCGGUGACAGGUGGUGCAUGGUUGUCGUCAGCUCGUGCCGUGAGGUGUCGGCUUAAGUGCCAUAACGAGCGCAACCCCUAUGGACAGUUACUAACGGGUGAAGCCGAGGACUCUGUCUAGACUGCCGGCGCAAGCCGCGAGGAAGGUGGGGAUGACGUCAAAUCAGCACGGCCCUUACGUCCGGGGCGACACACGUGUUACAAUGGCAGGGACAGCGAGUAGCCAGGCAGCAAUGCCGCGCCAAUCUCGAAACCCUGUCCCAGUUCGGAUCGGAGUCUGCAACCCGACUCCGUGAAGCUGGAUUCGCUAGUAAUCGCGCAUCAGCCAUGGCGCGGUGAAUACGUUCCCGGGCCUUGUACACACCGCCCGUCAAGCCAUGGGAGCCGGGAGUACCUGAAGUAUGCAACCGCGAGGAGCGUCCUAGGGUAAUACUGGUGACUGGGGCU
rnacentral:rRNA from 1 species